ensembl:lncRNA
AAUGAAGUAGCGGUCGAGCUUCUGGUGGAUUAAAAUGCGAUGAUCAGCGUACCGGUACGCUGAAAGUACGUUCUUGACACUUGGAGAAGUGCCAGGACGCCCGAAGGAUAUUUUUAGAAGUCCCGGAACUGAGUACCGGCCCGUACCGGCCCACUUAAAGCACUGUUUGUUUUUAAACUUGGUUCUGGAUCUGGUUUUCAGGCAUGGCAAUUUUCCGCCGUUCCGCGGAAAUCCGCCGUUUUAAUUUUCAAAUUGAUCGUUUCUGUGAAUCGUCCAAAUCCGUUCAGAAAAUUUUAGGGGAGGUGAGGUAUGUUUUUGUUACUCUUGCUCCCGGCUUUUGAGAAGCGCUCGGCGUUUCUCCCGCAGCGUAACAGACAAAAGCCGCGAUUCCACAAGCAUCUACUCGGCGCGGUACGGUUCGCCACUACUGUAUCUGACUCGGCUCGUCUCGGUUUAGUUGUUUUUCCAUAUAGCCUCAUCAUGGGUGGAGUCGUCAUAGCGCAGCGAGCCGAAAGUCCCUUAACGUCAUUUGCGUGCGACACAAACGCAACAUAACGGAGACGAUGGUUCACCUGCUGCUCGGUCUGUGGCUUUCUGUCAGAUUCAGAGUAAUAGAAGAGUCUUAGAAAGCUGAGAGCAGCGAGUCGAAACACUCAGGAGACACACAGGAGAGUUUGGGAGGCGAUGCAGCAGUAUCAAGCUGAAGACAAGAGGAUAUGAACGAGACGACAUAUGAGGAUGCUCUCUGAUGAGACUUCAUGGGAUUUACCUGAAGCAGCAGCACAUGAGCCUGCAGUGGCACAAGGUGUAGAGGAGGAGGACAGAGAUGUACAGGAUGCACUGAUGCACUACGUGUCAUGCAAAAGUUAAGUUAUUCUUCUUGUUAUACUUCCGUUUUUCUGUCCCCGGACUGCUAUUGUUUUCUUUAAUGCAAUUCUGACAAUAAACUUCUGUACCUUUCGCAGUUGUAUCUGUGCUAUUGUUUUAUUUGUGAAGGUUAGCAAGACUACAUGACAAAUUAAACACCAAAACAUUAAAACAGCUGUUUUAAGAAUAUUCCAGUUUGAUAAAUCAGCUUUGCUUUGGUGUAAUUCAGUCAGCGGAAUUAUGAACCAUAAAGGAGUUUGUGUUAAAACAUGUUAAAUCC